GGCUAGCCCUGACAGAAGCGGUAUCCUUUUUAUCCGCUUUUUUGCGGAUGAAAAGAUAUAGUGAAUGGCAGGAACGUCU
rnacentral:sRNA from 1 species